rnacentral:snRNA from 1 species
AUCACUUCAUGGCCUUUUGGCUAAGAUCAAGUGUAGUAUAAGUUUUUCUCAAAGCACUGCUUUCACUAUAUCCUACAAAUUUUAAUAAGUUAUGCUUU